rnacentral:ncRNA from 1 species
CGGUUGCUUACGAGUAAAUCAAAGCCUCAUUUCACACACACACGAGAAUCGAAACGAUUACUCUAGAAGGAUAGGUUUCAUCCCUUCUUCCUGUCCGUUCCUGACGUUGACUCGUGAGCAACUAACUUCCUUCA